AUACGUAGGUGCCAAGCGUUAUCCGGAUUUACUGGGCGUAAAGGGCGUGUAGGCGGUCUUGCAAGUCAGAAGUGAAAUUCCUGAGCUCAACUCGGGCGCUGCUUCUGAAACUGCAGGACUUGAGUGCUGGAGGGGAUAGCGGAAUUCCUAGUGGAGCGGUAAAAUGCGCAGAUAUUAGGAAGAACACCGGUGGCGAAGGCGACUUUCUGGACAGUAACUGACGCUGAGGUACGAAAGCGUGGGGAGCAAACAGGAUUAGAUACCCUGGUAGUCCACGCCGUAAACGAUGAGCACUAGGUGUCGGGGCAGCAAUGUUUCGGUGCCGCAGUUAACGCAAUAAGUGCUCCGCCUGGGGAGUACGCACGCAAGUGUGAAACUCAAAUGAAUUGACGGGG
rnacentral:rRNA from 1 species